GGAUGUGAAUUCAGUUUAAGUAGCUUUGAACCUCUGGUACUGCCUUUUUUUCUAAGCCUCUCUAAGAUUAGGAGGUGGGGUGAUACCCCAAGAUUGUACUACAGAGCAGUUUGGCUUGUUAAUGGCAGGAAAUUGUGAUUCCCUGUCUCUCUCCUCCCCUUCCCCUCUAACUACUUCCGCUUCUGUGACCCCAUUGUUCUUAUCUCAUUGAGUCUUUCCCAGGCACUGGGACUUAAUUAGCAGGUCAUUUCUAAUCUAUGGGACUUGUCUUUCCUCUUUCUAUUCCCUGCCUUCCCCACCACAUAUUUUCUGUUUAUUAAGUGGUUUAUUCUUAAUUCUGAGAAUUAAUCUAGGUCACGCUCUAUAUCCUGUGCUUCCUCAUUGGUUUCAGGCAUCUGGUUCUGUCAGCAGUAAUGAUAACAGCUCCCUUCUCUGGCUUUGCCCUGUGUUCUGUUCUUCUGCCAAGGCCACUUGUGUUAGGCCAGAGAAAGGGUAGGUGGGGUGCUUAGCUUCUCAAAACAGCUUCAGUUUUACAAGUUGUCUGACAGCUUUAUGUACAAUAUAUUUUAGGAAAACAAAUCUACUUCUCUUUUAUUUAGGAUUUUAAUAAAAUAGGGUUUGAAUCUGAUGAGCAAGUUCAUGUGUGUGUGUAAGCAUUUAUGUGUAUGUACACCUAUACAAAUAUAUAUAUACAAUUUUUGUACUAUCAUUUAAAAUAAAAAGAUAUUUCUUAAUAAAAUGUCGAAGUCUUACC
rnacentral:lncRNA from 1 species